AGCUUUGCACAGUGGCAGUGUCGUAGCCAGUGAGGUUUAUCCUAGAUGUGAUUAAAGCUAAUUAACUUUUCCCAAUACCCUGCCAUGAUGAUUUGAAAUAUAGCCGGCAUUGGCAAUUUUGGACAGUCUCUACAGAGA